AGAGUUUGAUUCUGGCUCAGGAUGAACGCUAGCGACAGGCCUAACACAUGCAAGUCGAGGGGCAUCGGGGCUAGGAGCAAUCCUUGCCGCCGGCGACCGGCGCACGGGUGAGUAACGCGUAUGCGACCUGCCCGUUGCAGGGGGAUAAUCGGGAGAAAUCCCGUCUAAUACCGCGUAAUGCCGCGGGGCUGCAUGGCCCUGCGGCCAAAGGGAGCGAUUCCGGCAACGGAUGGGCAUGCGUGACAUUAGCUAGUUGGCGGGGCAACGGCCCACCAAGGCGACGAUGUCUAGGGGUUCUGAGAGGAAGGUCCCCCACAUUGGUACUGAGACACGGACCAGACUCCUACGGGAGGCAGCAGUGAGGAAUAAUGGUCAAUGGGCGCGAGCCUGAACCAGCCAAGUCGCGUGAGGGAUGACGGCCCUACGGGUUGUAAACCUCUUUUGUCGGGGAGCAAAUUCCGUUACGUGUAACGGAGUCGAGAGUACCCGAAGAAAAAGCAUCGGCUAACUCCGUGCCAGCAGCCGCGGUAAUACGGAGGAUGCGAGCGUUAUCCGGAUUUAUUGGGUUUAAAGGGUGCGUAGGCGGACUGUCAAGUCAGCGGUAAAAUACGGGGGCUCAACCUCCGCCCGCCGUUGAAACUGACGAUCUUGAGUGGGCGAGAAGUAUGCGGAAUGCGUGGUGUAGCGGUGAAAUGCAUAGAUAUCACGCAGAACUCCGAUUGCGAAGGCAGCAUACCGGCGCCCAACUGACGCUGAAGCACGAAAGCGUGGGUAUCGAACAGGGAUUAGAUACCCUGGUAGUCCACGCAGUAAACGAUGAAUACUAGCUGUCCGGGGCGAAUGAGCCCUGGGUGGCACAGCGAAAGCGUUAAGUAUUCCACCUGGGGAGUACGCCGGCAACGGUGAAACUCAAAGGAAUUGACGGGGGCCCGCACAAGCGGAGGAACAUGUGGUUUAAUUCGAUGAUACGCGAGGAACCUUACCCGGGCUCAAACGACACAGGAACGUACCUGAAAGGGUUCGGCUCUACGGAGCCUGUGUCGAGGUGCUGCAUGGUUGUCGUCAGCUCGUGCCGUGAGGUGUCGGCUUAAGUGCCAUAACGAGCGCAACCCCCAUCGACAGUUGCUAACAGGUCAGGCUGAGGACUCUGUCGAGACUGCCGGCGCAAGCUGCGAGGAAGGCGGGGAUGACGUCAAAUCAGCACGGCCCUUACGUCCGGGGCGACACACGUGUUACAAUGGCAGGUACAGCGGGAAGCCACCUGGCGACAGGGAGCGGAACCCGAAAGCCUGUCUCAGUUCGGAUUGGAGUCUGCAACCCGACUCCAUGAAGCUGGAUUCGCUAGUAAUCGCGCAUCAGCCACGGCGCGGUGAAAACGUUCCCGGGCCUUGCACACACCGCCCGUCAAG
rnacentral:rRNA from 1 species